rnacentral:rRNA from 1 species
UUCGCAAUGCCCGAAAGGGUGACGAAGCGACGCCGCGUGCGGGAAGAAGGCCAUCGGGUUGUAAACCGCUGUCGGGAGUUAGGAAAUGCAAGGAUGUUAAUAGCGUCUUUGCUUGACUAAGGCUCCGGAGGAAGCCACGGCUAACUCUGUGCCAGCAGCCGCGGUAAUACAGAGGCGGCAAGCGUUGUUCGGAAUUAUUGGGCGUAAAGAGCACGUAGGCGGCCGUGUAAGUCGGUUGUGAAAGCCUUCCGCUCAACGGGAGAACGGCAUCCGAUACUGCAUGGCUCGAGCGCGGGAGGGGAGAGUGGAACUUCUGGUGGAGCGGUGAAAUGCGUAGAUAUCAGAAGGAACACCGGCGGCGAAGGCGACUCUCUGGCCCGUAACUGACGCUGAGUGUGCGAAAGCUAGGGGAGCAAACGGGAUUAGAUACCCCGGUAGUCCUAGCCGUAAACGAUGGGCACUAAGUAGAGGGGUUUU